rnacentral:tRNA from 9 species
GCCCCUAUAGCUCAGUUGGUAGAGCAACUGAUUUGUAAUCAGUAGGUCCGCGGUUCGAGUCCGUGUGGGGGCACCA